UGCCAGCCGCCGCGGUAAUACGUAGGGUCCGAGCGUUGUCCGGAUUUACUGGGUGUAAAGGGUGCGCAGGCGGGCUUGCGCGUCAAGGGUUAAAUCCAUCGGCUUAACCGGUGAGCUGCCCUUGAUACGGCAAGUCUUGAAUACGAGAGAGGACGGUAGAAUUCCUGGUGUAGCGGUGAAAUGCGUAGAUAUCAGGAGGAAUACCAGUGGCGAAGGCGGCCGUCUGGCUCGUAAUUGACGCUCAGGCACGAAAGCGUGGGGAGCAAACAGGAUUAGAUA
rnacentral:rRNA from 1 species